UAUUGUAAACGAUUUCGUGGAAUAACCGCAACAAUUGUAGAAACAGAAAAUUCUCCAAUUGUAGAAACAGUUAUAGAACAACUGUUGUAGACAGUUUGUAGAAAUUGUAGAAACAGACGAUUUUCCAAUAAAUAAGAGACCUUCGCCAUUUGCAAUCAUGUGUAAUUUAAAAAGCAACUGCACUAAUUUGAAUACGAUUGUAAUUAUAUGAAAUUUACCGUAAUUAUUUCACGCAGGAAUAUGCUAUUAAAAGGGGCUAAGGAAAACAAUCUUCCCUUUGCGUAUAUAAAAUUCUUUAAAACUAUCCCACAUAAUGGAUAUGAAGGAGAAUAUGACAUUGGCCUUUCUCUGACCGAAAAUUGACUGCUACAACAUUUUUAUUGUAUGAAUACUUUUGAUAAUACGGAUUGAGGAUCACAUAUUCCAACGCCGUAUCUGCCGUCAUUUCAUCUAAUGUACGUCGAGGAAUCUUCAUUUUAAUAAAUUCUCUUUUGUUCACCUAGAUA